UACAGAGGGUGCUAGCGUUGUUCGGAAUCAUUGGGCGUAAAGGGCGUGUAGGCGGUUUGUUAAGUCAUGUGUGAAAUCCCUCGGCUCAACCGGGGAACGACGCAUGAAACUGGCAAGCUAGAGUACCAAAGAGGGGGGUGGAAUUCCCGGUGUAGCGGUGGAAAUGCGUAGAUAUCGGGAGGAACACCAGUGGCGAAGGCGGCUUCCUGGCCUGUUCUUGACGCUGAGGCGCGAAAGCUAGGGGAGCAAACGGG
rnacentral:rRNA from 1 species